rnacentral:pre_miRNA from 1 species
AUCGCCUGGGGGUCUUGUUCAAAUGCAGAAUCUGGUUCAGCAGAUCUGGGGUGGGGCCCUGAGAGUCUGCAUUUCUAACAAGCUCCCAGGUGAAGCCAA